rnacentral:tRNA from 1 species
UCCCCACUGGCUCAGCCAGUAAAGAACUCACCUGCAAUGCAGGAGACCCAAGUUCGAUCCUUGGGUGGGGAA